CCUACGGGUGGCAGCAGUGGGGAAUAUUGCACAAUGGGGGAAACCCUGAUGCAGCGACGCCGCGUGAGUGAAGAAGUAAUUCGUUACGUAAAGCUCUAUCAGCAGGGAAGAAACACUGACCAUAUGGUCAGCAGACGGUACCUGAGUAAGAAGCACCGGCUAACUACGUGCCAGCAGCCGCGGUAAUACGCAGGGGGCAAGCGUUAUCCGGAUUUACUGGGUGUAAAGGGAGCGUAGACGGGGCGCCAAGUCUGAAGUGAAAUGCCGCAGCUUAACUGCGGAACUGCUUUGGAAACUGGAGAACUAGAGUGCGGGAGGGGUAAGCGGAAUUCCUAGUGUAGCGGUGAAAUGCGUAGAUAUUAGGAGGAACACCGGUGGCGAAGGCGGCUUACUGGACCGUAACUGACGUUGAGGCUCGAAGGCGUGGGGAGCAAACAGGAUUAGAUACCCUUGUAGUC
rnacentral:rRNA from 1 species